AAGCGGUGGAGUAUGUGGUUUAAUUCGAUGCAACGCGAAGAACCUUACCUGGUCUUGACAUCCCGGAGACCCUUAGGAAACUAGGGGGUGCUUCCAUCUGGAAGAAUCUGGAGACAGGUGCUGCAUGGCUGUCGUCAGCUCGUGUCGUGAGAUGUUGGGUUAAGUCCCGCAACGAGCGCAACCCUUGCCUUUAGUUGCCAGCAGUUCGGCUGGGCACUCUAAAGGGACUGCCGGUGUUAAACCGGAGGAAGGUGGGGAUGACGUCAAGUCCUCAUGGCCUUUAUGACCAGGGCUACACACGUACUACAAUGGCCGAUACAAAGGGCAGCGACACUGCGAGGUGAAGCCAAUCCCGUAAAAUCGGUCUCAGUCCGGAUUGGAGUCUGCAACUCGACUCCAUGAAGCUGGAAUCGCUAGUAAUCGCGCAUCAGCCAUGGCGCGGUGAAUACGUUCCCGGGCCUU
rnacentral:rRNA from 1 species